ACCUCUCCCUGUCAUCGAUAUCUGAGAGUGUAAAAUGCUUUCUUGCAGUAAUACCUGUGUUUUCUUGUGUGAUACUACGCGAAACGUAAUCGUAACAAUGUACAUUUUUCUGUUUAUACUUUAAACACUGGGUAUGGAAAAUCAGAAGAUUUACGUAAAGGUGAUUUUAAGCAGUAUCCAAGAAAGGAGGAAGGGUAAAGGGUUUUAUUCUGACUGCAGGACUUGUAUUUCGAGGAAAUGAAUGGUUCUAUGAGUAAAAUCAAUUGUCUCCUUCUGCUCUACCAAAGGCAGUCGCUGAAAGG